rnacentral:rRNA from 1 species
GACGUAGGGCGCGAGCGUUGUCCGGAUUUAUUGGGCGUAAAGAGCGUGUAGGCGGCUUGGUAGGUCCGCUGUGAAAACUCGAGGCUCAACCUCGAGAUGUCGGCGGAAACCACUUGGCUAGAGUCCGGAAGAGGAGAGUGGAAUUCCCGGUGUAGCGGUGAAAUGCGCAGAUAUCAGGAGGAACACCGGUGGCGAAGGCGGGUCUCUGGGCCGAUACUGACGCUGAGGAGCGAAAGCGUGGGGAGCGAACAGG